ensembl:rRNA 5S_rRNA 5S ribosomal RNA
GUCUAUGGCCAUACUACCCUAAAUGUGCCUAAUCUUGUCUUAUCUCAGAAGCUAAGCAGGCUUGGGCCUGGUUAGUACUUGGAUGGGAGACCACUUGGGAAUGCCAGGUGCUGUAGGCU